CGCAAUCUUUUGUGCGUGUAAAACAUUUAAAUUUCUUUUCGCAUGCUACUUAUUGUACAUAUAUAAGAGUAUCUAGUGUUCUGUCGUGAGCUAGAACUUCUCAAGGUUUUUGGCAGGAGCAGUGGCAUAAGCAAAGCCGAUGGCUGAAACAUGCACGUUUUUUAUUUCACUUCCCUUACUUACGUACAUACAUACAUAUGUACAUAUGUAUAUGUAUGUAUAAUUUGCCUUCAUUGUGCCAGAAAAGAAUGUUGAUAAGCAAGUUAACGAGAAAAUCUACAAACGCCACUUAAUUGAUAUAAAAAGACAAAAAAAGCACACCUAUGUACAUACACAUACAAUAGAGUCAAAGCUCCAUGCGUCAACUUCAUCGAGAAGAAUUUUCAUUUCAACAGUUUGCCGACUCUACCGACGUAAAACCGCUAUAGGUGUGCCACCGAAUCCCUUUACACUUGUGCAUCUCUUCCGGCAGUUUUAAAGCUACAAAUUUAGUACUAGCAUACAUUAUACAAUCUUUGACGCGAAGCAUACUUAGCUGAAUACUUCGGACACAAAUAUACAUUUAAUAAUGGCUAAAACGAUGUUAUUUUUAACGUAUAACCACCUCUGAUGACUUGGAGAACUUGGGGAAAUCAUUCAUCAAUUUUAUUGACAGACGUUGGCCAUUGAAUCCUGCUUCUCUGAAUCUCCGGGGUAUAAAUAAUGUAUCUACCAUCACUCCUGCUGAACAAAAAAUUGUAUGUCAAUCCAGUCGCAGCAGAUUUG
rnacentral:lncRNA from 1 species